AUGGUUUACAAACUGAAAAUAGAAUGAUUUGUGAAGUUGAACAUUUUCUCACAAAGAAUCCGUUUGUAGACAUGUACACUCAUUUAAUCUGCAGCUACGAAGUACUUUGUCACUUCUCUGGAACAUUAUUCUAAGCAGAAUUAUGCCGAUUCAUAUAUUCUAAGAAUCUUGUGUGAAUUGUUUACGAGGAAAUUCUGACUGUCACAUUAACAAGGAUGAACACUCUUGACUCUGCUUCGGAUUCCCCAGUGAUAAUUGUAUCGUGUGAUGAAAGAGCUGACGGUGACAUUUUAAUGUAUGAUUGGCUUGGACCAUUCGAAUGAAGUCAUUUCAUGGUGCCACCACUUGGGAUGGUAUUAGCUGCAAAUAUAGACUUGUACUCAGCACUUAUUGCCUUUAAGAAGUAUGAGAUCCAUUUUGUGCUAACACCUACCGUGACACAGAAUCUUGGUUUAUGCAGUCUCAUAGGAGUAAACUGUCUAAAGCAUUUAGCAAUGGGAUUGGAACCUGCGACGUGUGACUCAUCUGAAUACUGAAUUUUGAUACCAAGCAUGACCAUGAUUUGCCAGAAGAUCAUCUGUUUGGAUGUGACAUGGAAUAAACAGCAUAGUGAAAAUAAGUCAAGUUUUGGUUUGUGAAGACAAUUUUAAAACACACUGUGUAUCAUUUUUAAAUUUUGAUUUGACAACAUAAAUCCACAAAUAUGAACAUAUCAAUUGCUCUCAGUUUUUCAAGUGAAAUAGUUUUUGUAACAGAAAUACAUGUACCAGUAAUUACAUUGGAAUAAAUGUUAUUUUUAAAUAUAAUAAUAUUUUGUUUGUGUAGCAUGUUGACCUCUUUAUUAAGGUCUUCCCUUUCAAAGUUUAGACUUACUUAUUCUAAUGAUUAAGAUAGAUCCUCUGUCUUCAGCAGGAAUAUAAGAUCUUGUAAUACAUGUAUGUGUAUUUUUUACAGUAUAAUGUAAAAAAAAUUGUUAUUUUGGCACAUACAACUAAUUAAAGGCAUAAACAUGUGUAUGAUUCCAAGGAAUUCAGUACAUAGGGCAUGUACAUGUAGUUUUCUAAAACAAGAUUGAAGAGAUGUCCAGUCGCAUUUCAAUGUCAACUCCAAAACUGAGCCUGUUGCAUACUUAUUAGCCCAUCUGAGCUAAAGGAACCAGUAAAUUUUUUAAAAACAUAAUUUUAUCCAUUAUCAUCAUUGUCUAAAAUUUCACAACAUCAUUUUCCAGAACCAAAGUGAAACUUGGCACAGAGCAUCCUUAGUGUAGGGGCUUCAAAUUGUUCUUAUGCAGGGCAAUACCUUCAAAGAGAUUUGUUUCUUUAAUGCUGUAAAUGUAUUAUAUUUAGCUUGUACAAUAUUUGGUGGAAAUUGACUUUUGAAUAAGUUAGCGUAGAUAUUCUUAUUUAUGUUUAUGUACAAGACUUUUAGCUUUGUACUUGAUUUAGUGAUGGCUGCAUUCCGCCAAAGCCGCUA